ensembl:lncRNA
UAUAGAGCAGCACAACAGUUUUCAACAAUAAUAAUAAUCAGAAAUGUUUCUUGAGCAGCAAAUUCAGCAUAUUAUUAUGAUUUCUGAAGAUCAUGUGACACUGAAGACUGGAGUAAAAUUCAGCUGCGCAUCACAGAAAAUAAAUUACAUUUUAAAAUAUAUUCACAAAGAAAACAGCUAUAUUAAAUUGUAAUAAUAUUUAACAAUUUUACUGUUAAUUUUACUGUGUUUUUAAGCAAAUAAAUGCACCCUUGGUGAGCAAAAGAGGCUUCUUUUACAAACCCACACUUUUAAACAGUAUUGUCGUUGACAAUUUAAAAACUUGACUUGCAGAAUUUACAACCAACUGUCACAGAAAACCAAAUGUUUAAGUUUGCAAGAUAUUAAAGUGCAUGCAUAUGAUCAAAAAUGUGAGAUAUAUUGCUGGAAAAGUGAUCUCUGCAUAGGGUUAAAUGUAGUGUGAAAUGCCUGAAUAAUGAAAUUGAUAAACUUUUAUAGUCAUUGAACACAGGUUGAUGAGUUAAUUUAUUAUUUAUACCCUGACCAUUUAGUAACGAUGUCUAGGGUGCUAAAGCACAUCUGUUGUUUAAGUGCCGCUAUUUCCUGCUGAUUUUUUUGCAUGUUUCUCUCACUCAGUAAAUGUGAGACGAUCCGAUGCAUGUUUUAUUUGCUCUCUCAGGGCGCUGAGAAGACUGCAGAGGAAGGACCCUCGACAGGCCGAGUUGGAGCUUUUAGAGCAAGGCUUCAAUCUGUACAUCAACGGCGCUCAUGUCAGCACAGCUAAUGCAGCUCAGAACAGCAGGAAAAGCAUCCAGCCUUCAGUAGCGGCCCAUCCGCCAACACGGAGAAACACUCAGACUGCAGAUUCCUCCAGAGAGAGUGGAGAGAGGUGUGCGAUAGCUCAGCAGAAACAGAGGAGCCACACAGCGCCUGAGAAAACACAGAGACGACGAUGGGUGCAGGUACACACACGCCCUGUUACUGCUAAUGGCCUGAUAAGUCACUGUUGCUGUCGCUCGCGUCCCACAUUCUAUAUCAAGUUAUUUUUUCCUUCCUGUUUCUGCAAUAAUGCACUGUAUUGUAACGCUAUGCACAUUACUGUAGGAAUCUGUGUACAUCUGCACUGAGAAAGGAAGUAAAGUGAAGAUUUCACCAGAGCACA